rnacentral:rRNA from 1 species
UGAGCAAUCUGCCCUUCUCUUCGGAAUAAGCGUUGGAAACGACGUCUAAUGCCGAAUACGACCUCCUUUCGCAUGAUCGGAGGUGGAAAGCUCCGGCGGAGAAGGAUGAGCUUGCGGCCUAUCAUCUAGUUGGUGUGGGUAAUGGCCCACCAAGGCGACGACGGGUAGCCGGCCUGAGAGGGCGACCGGCCACACUGGGACUGAGACACGGCCCAGACCUCCGUACGGGGAGGCAGCG